AUUGAACGCUGGCGGCAGGCUUAACACAUGCAAGUCGAGCGGGGGGAGGUAGCUUGCUACCGGGCCUAGCGGCGGACGGGUGAGUAAUGCUUAGGAAUCUGCCUAUUAGUGGGGGACAACAUCUCGAAAGGGAUGCUAAUACCGAAUACGUCCUACGGGAGAAAGCAGGGGAUCUUCGGACCUUGCGCUAAUAGAUGAGCCUAAGUCGGAUUAGCUAGUUGGUGGGGUAAAGGCCUACCAAGGCGACGAUCUGUAGCGGGUCUGAGAGGAUGAUCCGCCACACUGGGACUGAGACACGGCCCAGACUCCUACGGGAGGCAGCAGUGGGGAAUAUUGGACAAUGGGGGGAACCCUGAUCCAGCCAUGCCGCGUGUGUGAAGAAGGCCUUAUGGUUGUAAAGCACUUUAAGCGAGGAGGAGGCUACUUUAGUUAAUACCUAGAGAUAGUGGACGUUACUCGCAGAAUAAGCACCGGCUAACUCUGUGCCAGCCGCCGCAGUAA
rnacentral:rRNA from 1 species